AGUGAACGCUGGCGGUAGGCCUAACACAUGCAAGUCGAACGGCAGCACAGUAAGAGCUUGCUCUUACGGGUGGCGAGUGGCGGACGGGUGAGGAAUACAUCGGAAUCUACUUUUUCGUGGGGGAUAACGUAGGGAAACUUACGCUAAUACCGCAUACGACCUACGGGUGAAAGCAGGGGAUCUUCGGACCUUGCGCGAUUGAAUGAGCCGAUGUCGGAUUAGCUAGUUGGCGGGGUAAAGGCCCACCAAGGCGACGAUCCGUAGCUGGUCUGAGAGGAUGAUCAGCCACACUGGAACUGAGACACGGUCCAGACUCCUACGGGAGGCAGCAGUGGGGAAUAUUGGACAAAGGGCGCAAGCCUGAUCCAGCCAUACCGCGUGGGUGGAGAAGGCCUUCGGGUUGUAAAGCCCUUUUGUUGGGAAAGAAAAGCAGCAGGUUAAUACCCCGCUGUUCUGACGGUACCCAAAGAAUAAGCACCGGCUAACUUCGUG
rnacentral:rRNA from 1 species